CCUACGGGGGGCAGCAGUGAGGAAUAUUGGUCAAUGGACGAUAGUCUGAACCAGCCAAGUAGCGUUAAGGAUGACUGCCCUAUGGGUUGUAAACUUCUUUUAUAUGGGAAUAAAACGUUCCACGUGUGGGAUUUUGUAUGUACCAUAUGAAUAAGGAUCGGCUAAGUCCGUGCCAGCAGCCGCGGUAAUACGGAGGAUCCGAGCGUUAUCCGGAUUUAUUGGGUUUAAAGGGAGCGUAGGUGGAUUGUUAAGUCAGUUGUGAAAGUUUGCGGCUCAACCGUAAAAUUGCAGUUGAAACUGGCAGUCUUGAGUACAGUAGAGGUGGGCGGAAUUCGUGGUGUAGCGGUGAAAUGAUUAGAUAUCACGAAGAACUCCGAUUGCGAAGGCAGUUCACUGGACUGCAACUGACACUGAGGCUCGAAAGUGUGGGUAUCAAACAGGAUUAGAGACCCCUGUAGUC
rnacentral:rRNA from 1 species